rnacentral:hammerhead_ribozyme from 1 species
AUCCAGUUGACGAGUCUUAAAUAUGACGAAACUUGCGUCCUGGAU